AGAGUUUGAUCCUGGCUCAGAAUCAACGCUGGCGGCGCGCUUAACACAUGCAAGUCGCACGAGAAAGGGAGCAAUCCUAAGUAAAGUGGCGUACGGGUGAGUAACACGUGGAUAAUCUACCUUUUAGUGGGGAAUACCCCCGGGAAACUGGGGACAAUACCGCAUAAGCUCGUAAGAGGAAAGCAGCAAUGCGCUGAAAGAGGAGUCCGCGGCCGAUUAGCUAGUUGGCGGGGUAACGGCCCACCAAGGCGAAGAUCGGUAGCCGGCCUGAGAGGGCACACGGCCACACUGGCACUGAAACACGGGCCAGACUCCUACGGGAGGCAGCAGUGGGGAAUCUUGCACAAUGGAGGAAACUCUGAUGCAGCGACGCCGCGUGAGCGAUGAAGCCCUUCGGGGUGUAAAGCUCUUUCGACGGGAACGAUAAUGACGGUACCCGAAGAAGAAGCUGCGGCUAACUACGUGCCAGCAGCCGCGGUAAUACGUAGGCAGCAAGCGUUGUUCGGAAUUACUGGGCGUAAAGAGUGUGUAGGCGGUGUCCUAAGUCUGUUGUGAAAUCUCCCGGCUUAACUGGGAGGGUGCGGCGGAGACUGGGAUGCUAGAGUAUGGGAGAGGUAAGCGGAAUUCCUGGUGUAGCGGUGAAAUGCGUAGAUAUCAGGAGGAACACCUGGUGUAGACAGCUUACUGGACCAUGACUGACGCUGAGACACGAAAGCGUGGGUAGCAAACAGGAUUAGAUACCCUAGUAGUCC
rnacentral:rRNA from 1 species